rnacentral:rRNA from 1 species
CUACGGGUGGCUGCAGUUAGGAAUAAUCUACAAUGCACGAAAGUGUGAUAGUUUGAGUCAAAGUGCGUUUCAAUUUGAAAUGCUUUUAUGGAAUGUAAAAAGUUCCACGAAUAAGGACUGGGUAAGACAGGUGCCAGCCGCCGCGGUAAUACCUGCGGUCCAAGUCGCAGCCAUUUUUAUUGGGUCUAAAACAUCCGUAGCUUGCUUGGUAAGUUUCUUGUGAAAUUCCAUAUCUUAAAUAUGGAGCGGGCAAGAAGUACUGCCAAGCUAGAGACUGGGAGACGUAAGAAGUACGUUCGAAGUAGCGGUAAAAUGUGUUAAUCUCGAGCGGACUCACAACAGCGAAGGCAUCUUACGAGAACAGUUCUGACAGUAAGGGAUGAAGGCUAGGGGCGCAAAACGGAUUAGAUACCCCGGUAGUC